rnacentral:rRNA from 1 species
CCUACGGGGUGCAGCAGUGAGGAAUAUUGGUCAAUGGACGAGAGUCUGAACCAGCCAAGUAGCGUGAAGGAUGACUGCCCUAUGGGUUGUAAACUUCUUUUAUAUGGGAAUAAAAUGUUCCACGUGUGGGCUUUUGUAUGUACCAUAUGAAUAAGGAUCGGCUAACUCCGUGCCAGCAGCCGCGGUAAUACGGAGGAUCCGAGCGUUAUCCGGAUUUAUUGGGUUUAAAGGGAGCGUAGGUGGAUUGUUAAGGCAGUUGUGAAAGUUUGCGGCUCAACCGUAAAAUUGCAGUUGAAACUGGCAGUCUUGAGUACAGUAGAGGUGGGCGGAAGUCGUGGUGUAGCGGUGAAAUGCUUAGAUAUCACGAAGAACUCCGAGUGCGAAGGCAGCUCACUGGACUGCAACUGACACUGAGGCUCGAAAGUGUGGGUAUCAAACAGGAUUAGAUACCCUUGUAGUC